rnacentral:rRNA from 1 species
GACGAACGCUGGCGGCGUGCUUAACACAUGCAAGUCGAGCGGAGCGGCGAACGGGUGAGUAACGCGUGAGUAACUGCCCCCCUCUCUGGGAUCACAGUUGGAAACGGCUGCUAAUACCGGCUAGUGGGGGAUGACUCGCGUCCUAUCAGCUUGUUGGUGGGGUAGUGGCCUACCAAGGCGACGACGGGUAGCCGGCCUGAGAGGGCGACCGGCCAAAUUGGGAUGAGAUACGGCCAAAACUCCUACGGGAGGCAGCAGGGGGGAAUAUUGCAGAAUGGGGGAAACCGUGAGGAAGAAAGGCCGGGGGCGGGAUGACGGGCUGCGGGUUGUAAACAGGUAUCAGACAGGACGCGGUAGUGGCAGAAGAAGCACCGGCUAACUACGUGCCAGCCGCCGCGGUAAUAC